rnacentral:snRNA from 1 species
GUGCUGGAUUCAAUUCAGCAGCACAUAUAUUAAAACUGAAACAAUACAAAGAAAAUUAGCAUGCCCCUGUGCAAGGAUGACAUUUAAAAAAANUUUUUU